AAAACACCAUGUUCCACAAUGCCAAGACGAAGAUGCUGAAAGAGUUCAGUGAUCUGCAGAAAUACCUUGUGGAUCAAAUUAAGACACAGAUGACAACCGCCUUGAUGCUGGGUCUAAGCCAGAUCCCUGAGGACCUGACUGGCCUCCCAGACGUUUCAGAAGAGACUGUGAUGAUGGAGCAAUGCUGUGAGUCUUUGGGCCUCCAGGUGUUUUAAGAACCGAAAGAGGAUGAUGAAACCAAAAGUACCAGAAUUAUCAAACUGAUUUGAGAUCACUGUGGCAACCUGUCUGUGGGUGCUGUCAAAUAUGCAUUCUAUUGAUAACCAUUUUUCUUAUUAUUUCACUGACUAUGUAAUACUUAAUACUUACUGCUUAACUGUACAACAAGGCCACAUAUUAACAUCUAUGAGUUUUUGUGGAAAGGUGGUCUCAAAUAGACUUGCAGCAUCAAUGUUGGCUUUGAAUAACUAGUCAACUUAUCAGUUCAGUAAGCAAUAAUAUAAGUUAAACUAUGUGAUACUAUACUUCUGCUGUCACUCUUUUUAGAAUCUUUAAACAGAAAACUAUUGUUUCAUACUUUUUUAUUUUUCAGUGGAGGCUUGAUGAAAACAUUGAAAGAUUAAUAAUUUGUUUAGUUUGGUGGAUUACAAUAUAGGCUAAUCAUCAUAUGUCAGGGUGUGAUGACUUGUGUAGGAUUUAUAGUGGGAACUCAUAUCAUGUUUGUUCACUUCUUCAAUUCAGUUACUUUAUGCAACAUAUAAUCAUAAUAAAUAAUCAUCCUUAAAGUAAAAUGUGCCCAGCAUAAGAAAGGACUUUUCCUGUACUGUGGGAUUUGCCAGUUGAAUAUUUUGAAUUGUUAAAACAGCUAAAUUGUUGAACUUCAGUCUGAAUCACUUCUAAUUUGGAAAAGCGAGGGCAUAUUGAAUGUUUAUUCUCCUGGGACUGGAGAAUUUUACUUGGAGAAUUGUAGUUUUCAUUUCCAUUUGUUUGAAUCAGGGCUUUCGUGUUAUACAGCUGCAAGGAAGUUUAGGGAAUAGAACUGCAUAUCACUGGUUUACAUCUACUUUUAGUCAUAUUUCAAAAAAUUGCUUUUUAAAAAUAACAUUUACAUACUUAAUGUUUUUAGAACCACCUCCAUAUCAGAACUGCUCUUAUCCGCCUAUAUUGAUCUUAUUUCUUUGUGUGGGAUUUAUAGUGGGAAAUCAGGUUUGUAGGGAUAUAGCCAUGUGUGUUUACUUCUUCAAUUCAUUUACUUACAUGCAAUAUACACUCAGUGAUCACCUUAUUAGGUAGACCUGUACACAAGCUUGUCAAUGCAAAUAUUUAAUCAGCCAAUCAAAAUGCAUUGUUCAUGAGAGUGGUCAGAGGAGAAGGGCCAGACUGGUCAAAUUUGACAGGAAGGUGACAGUAACACAAAUAAGCAGACAUUACAACAGCCUCUAAGUGGAUCGGCUAUAGCAGCAGAAGAACAAAAGGGAGGAAAAGUGAAUGUCCCACUGAACUGCAUUGCUAAAUGCUAUGCUACUGCAUUUCAUCAUAGAUGGCAGCAGCAACAACUUAAUUUAAGCAAACAAAACAUUCAAUCGCUCUGCAACCACAAAAUCACACGGCUCCGUAUCGUCAGCAAAUGAUUGACAUGCAGCUCUUCAUUACUUUUUUAAAAUAUCUUGGUUACAAGCACACGGUCAGAUUUGUGUACCAAACACAACAACAAAGAUUAAGUUUAUCCCUGGCUGGCCACUCUCAUGAGAGGCACUAAAACAUUCGGGCCCCUGGGGUUUUUUUCUCCAACUGUGCUUGACAUUGGUUGCAGGCUGCCAUCGAUAGCCUACUGAUUACACAAUCAUACAUCUAUGAUUUUUAAAGUCAGGACGAUAAAUGA